AACUGAAAGACCUGAGAGGGAAUCUCAGCUUGACACUUACUCAUUAUGUGUCCUUGGGUCAGUCAUUGAGAGUCUCUUCCUCCCAGUGGUUGGGAAGCUGCAUGGAAGUGUAGAGGGCACUGUGAGAUACAGAAUCAAAGGAUGAGUGAUGAAACCACUGAGAGAGAACCACUUCCUGAGAAACCACUAAAGAAGUGCAUCUGCGUAAUGAAGAAUGCACAAGAAAGGAGAACACAUCAUUUUCCACAAUCACAGCUACCUAUGUGACAGUGAGAUAACAGUGAUUUUUGAAAGCCUCUGUUGUUUUUCCGGCUACAAGACAUCUAAGGCGGCAUGGACUUCCUAGAAAGUUCUUUUUACAGACCAUUUUCAUCUCAGAGCUGCCUCAAUCGCCAAAGAUAAGCGGGAGCUAUUUGCGUCUGGUGAUGCUCUAACUCCAAGUGAUUUCUCUUCAUAGGAAAUGUUCAUGAUGUCACCCUCAAAGAUAAAAGCUUGUUGGAAUUGUUAACAAUUGACUUUCUCAUUUAUAAAGGCAAUACCUUGCUUAGUCAUUUUCUGCGUCUGUGUCCUCUACUUCCUGACCUCCCAUUCAGAGCUUGCUUUAUGUCUCCCAGAUUACUGGCCCUGUUAUCGUACCUAGCGCCAGACCCAGUACCUCUACUCAGACCUUAUCCUAUGCCACUUCAGUUGAUGUCUUUCUUAAAACAUUCUUCUGACCUGGCUUUGUGACUGCUGUUUUCUCUUCUUCC
rnacentral:lncRNA from 1 species